rfam:Felis catus isolate Cinnamon breed Abyssinian chromosome D3, whole genome shotgun sequence.
GCCUGGGUGGCUCAGUCGGUUAAGCAUCCGACUUUCGCUCAGGUCAUGAUCUCAUAGUUUGUGAGUUCAAGCCUCACAUCAGGCU